AAUAGAUACCCUGGUAGUCCACACCGUAAACGAUGAGUGCUAAGUGUUAGAGGGUUUCCGCCCUUUAGUGCUGCAGCUAACGCAUUAAGCACUCCGCCUGGGGAGUACGGUCGCAAGACUGAAACUCAAAGGAAUUGACGGGGGCCCGCACAAGCGGUGGAGCAUGUGGUUUAAUUCGAAGCAACGCGAAGAACCUUACCAGGUCUUGACAUCCUCUGACAACUCUAAAGAUAGAGCGUUCCCCUUCGGGGGACAGAGUGACAGGUGGUGCAUGGUUGUCGUCAGCUCGUGUCGUGAGAUGUUGGGUUAAGUCCCGCAACGAGCGCAACCCUUGAUCUUAGUUGCCAGCAUUUAGUUGGGCACUCUAAGGUGACUGCCGGUGACAAACCGGAGGAAGGUGGGGAUGACGUCAAAUCAUCAUGCCCCUUAUGACCUGGGCUACACACGUGCUACAAUGGAUGGUACAAAGGGCUGCAAGACCGCGAGGUCAAGCCAAUACCCAUAAAACCAUUCUCAGUUCGGA
rnacentral:rRNA from 1 species